UCUGCUCUCCUCUCCGCGCUGUCCCGGGCAGGAUAUCAUCGUAUACUGUAAGUUGGCUAUGAGACACUACAGUAUAGAUGAUGUACUCCCCGGGCUGCACCGACCUCCUCCCGCCGCA
rnacentral:pre_miRNA from 12 species